rnacentral:rRNA from 1 species
GGGGGGAAUUUUGGACAAUGGGGGCAACCCUGAUCCAGCAAUGCCGCGUGUGUGAAGAAGGCCUUCGGGUUGUAAAGCACUUUUGUUCGGAAAGAAAUCGCCUGGGUUAAUACCCUGGGUGGAUGACGGUACCGGGAGAAUAAGCACCGGCUAACUACGUGCCAGCAGCCGCGGUAAUACGUAGGGUGCAAGCGUUGUCCGGAAUUAUUGGGCGUAAAGAGCUCGUAGGCGGUUUGUCGCGUCUGCUGUGAAAUCCCGAGGCUCAACCUCGGGCUUGCAGUGGGUACGGGCAGACUAGAGUGCGGUAGGGGAGAUUGGAAUUCCUGGUGUAGCGGUGGAAUGCGCAGAUAUCAGGAGGAACACCGAUGGCGAAGGCAGAUCUCUGGGCCGUAACUGACGCUGAGGAGCGAAAGCGUGGGGAGCGAACAGGAUUAGAUACCCUGGUAGUCCACGCCGUAAACGUUGGGCGCUAGAUGUAGGGACCUUUCCACGGUUUCUGUGACGCAGCUAACGCAUUAAGCAAUCCGCCUGGGGAGUACGGUCGCAAGAUUA